rnacentral:rRNA from 1 species
UACGUAGGGUGCAAGCGUUGUCCGGAAUUAUUGGGCGUAAAGAGCUCGUAGGCGGUCUGUCGCGUCGGCUGUGAAAACUCGGGGCUCAACCCCGAGCUUGCAGUCGAUACGGGCAGGCUAGAGUUCGGCAGGGGAGACUGGAAUUCCUGGUGUAGCGGUGAAAUGCGCAGAUAUCAGGAGGAACACCGGUGGCGAAGGCGGGUCUCUGGGCCGAUACUGACGCUGAGGCGCGAAAGCGUGGGGAGCAAACAGG